GACGAAUGCUGGCUGCGUGCUUAACACAUGCAAGUCGAACGGUGAAGGAGAGCUUGCUCUCCGGAUCAGUGGCGAACGGGUGAGUAACACGUGGGCAACCUGCCCCUCACUCUGGGAUAACGCCGGGAAACCGGCGCUAAUACCGGAUACGACCAGGCGCGACAUCUCGCCUGGUGGAAAGAAUUUCGGUGAGGGAUGGGCCCGCGGCCUAUCAGCUUGUUGGUGGGGUAACGGCCCACCAAGGCGACGACGGGUAGCCGGCCUGGGAGGGCGACCGGCCACACUGGGACUGAGACACGGCCCAGACUCCUACGGGAGGCAGCAGUGGGGAAUAUUGCGCAAUGGGCGAAAGCCUGACGCAGCGACGCAGCGUGAGGGACGACGGCCUUCGGGUUGUAAACCUCUUUCAGCGGGGACGAAGCGAAAGUGACGGUACCCGCAGAAGAAGCACCGGCUAACUACGUGCCAGCAGCCGCAGUAA
rnacentral:rRNA from 1 species